UACGUAGGGGGCAAGCGUUGUCCGGAUUUAUUGGGCGUAAAGAGCGUGUAGGCGGUUAUGCAGGUCCGCUGUGAAAACUGGAGGCUUAACCUCCAGACGUCGGUGGAAACCGUAUGACUAGAGUCCGGAAGAGGAGAGUGGAAUUCCUGGUGUAGCGGUGAAAUGCGCAGAUAUCAGGAAGAACACCCGUGGCGAAGGCGGCUCUCUGGGACGGUACUGACGCUGAGACGCGAAAGCGUGGGGGAGCGA
rnacentral:rRNA from 1 species